GACGAACGCUGGCGGCGUGCUUAAAAACAUGCAAGUCGAACGGACUUCUCAUGAAGCUUGCGAUUGAGAAGUUAGUGGCGGACGGGUGAGUAACGCGUGGGCAACCUGCCCCUGAGCCCGGGAUAACAGUUCGAAAGGACUGCUAAGACCGGAUAUACUUGCGGUGAAGCAUUUCACUGCAAGGAAAGGGAACGCUCAGGGAUGGGCCCGCGUCCCAUUAGCUAGUUGGUGAGGUAACGGCCCACCAAGGCGACGAUGGGUAGCCGGCCUGAGAGGGUGAACGGCCACACUGGGACUGAGACACGGCCCAGACUCCUACGGGAGGCAGCAGUUGGGAAUCUUCGGCAAUGGGCGCAAGCCUGACCGAGCAACGCCGCGUGAGCGAUGAAGGUUUUCGGAUUGUAAAGCUCUGUCUUCCGGGACGAUAAUGACGGUACCGGAGGAGGAAGCCACGGCUAACUACGUG
rnacentral:rRNA from 1 species